rnacentral:sRNA from 1 species
AAGGUGGUGAGUUAUCUCACUUGAUUGUUCACAGUCAGUUACAGAUUGAACUCCUUGUUUUACUACAUCCCCCCUCCUCACUACUGCACU